UGUACAGGACAGUGUGUGGUGUCCCAUAAGAGUAAUAGGCCAGGAAUUAACUGGGAGGCUGAGGCUGAGCCAGAAGAAGUAGAAGCUGGAAAGAUACAGUCUACUUAGGUCUCAAAAAGAGAAGACUCCCAAACCAGUUAAGAGGGGUGUGGUGAUCCCUUUGGGUCUGUUACUUGGAGUACCUCAGGAGUAGGGUUGUCAAAGGGGUGUGUAACUGAAGUUACCACCUUGUCUAAGAACCAAAUUAUUAAGCGGCAACAGCUGUGCAACAACUGAGAAAGAACUGAAGUCAAAUAACUAGAAAGAAGCUGAGCAUUUACCCUUUAGUCUAAAAACCUGUAACAUCUACCUGAAGCGAAGUAACUGAACAUAAGCAACUGAAGUUUAAAAGAAGCUGUGCUUGAUUAGAAGUCCAUAACAGCAGUUAGAUUUAGUAUAAAUAUUAUUAGGUGAACGGUUACCUGAAAUAACAUAACCUGAUGCAUCCACUUUGUGUCAUAAACUUCCUUUGUUUAAUAAAACCUUUCUUGUUUGUUUGAUCAAAUCCUGCCUGAGACUCCAAAUCAUUAAGUUUUCCCUCACACAAGUCCCCCACUAGAUAAUCUGGGGUAAUUUGUAGAAAUUCGUGUAAUUGGUGUACUGUGAGGUGGUUGCAUUAUAUUUGAGGGCCGGCCCAAUGGUGCCAGGGUGAAAAAGUGCCACCACAUGGGGUUCUGCAGGGUUCAGCCUGGUCUCCCAUUUUAUUCAACAUCUACAUAAAACUGUUGUGUGGGAGCAUCGGGAAUUUUGGAGGUUGUCGUGAAGCUUCUAUGACAUCACAAAUGGUAGACUGAAGCCAUUGCCUCAUCCACCAAGGCUGCUUCGCGGAUUGAAAGAUCACCUUACACAUUCUUCUAUGUUUGUUUGUGUCUUGUAGGUCUCCUGAGGGUCAUCGAUAACAAAGGUUGAAUACUCUUCCUGCUCUGGUCCAUCGUACACAGAUUUACUGCCACAAGCCUCUGUCGAAAAGAGAUGAAGAAAAAUCCAGCUCUCAUGAAGGUAAUCAAGGUCAAACAGCAUCACCAAGAAGCGGUAAAUUCAUGGUUGGUAAGUCGAAACCACCUCUUCUUGAAGUUCUUCAUACCAAAUCGUUUCCUGCCUUGUGCCCUCUUGAUCAUGAACCUAUUGCAAAGGAGAAGGGGACAGAAUUAUAUUUUUAUUUUUA